AAUAUUUGAAAAUGGGGACAACCCAGACACAGCCAUGCCGCGUGUGUGAAGAAGGUAAUUGGAUUGUAAAGCACUUUAAGUUGGGAGGAAGGGCUGUAGGUUAAUACCCUGAAGUUUUGACGUUACCAACAGAAUAAGCACCGGCUAACUCUGUACGAGCAGCCGCGGUAAGACAUAGGGUGCAAGCGUUAAUCGGAAUUACUUGACGUAAAGCACGCGUAGGUUGUUCAGUAAGAUGGGUGUGAAAUCCCCGGGCUUAACCUGGGAACUGCUUUCAUAACUGCUGAGCUAGAGUACGGUAGAGGGUAGUGGAAUUUCCUGUGUAGCGGUGAAAUGCGUAGAUAUAGGAAGGAACACCAGUGGCAAAGGCGACUACCUGGACUGAUACUGACACUAAGGUGCGAAAGCGUGGGGAGCAAACAG
rnacentral:rRNA from 1 species